rnacentral:rRNA from 1 species
UACAGAGGGGGCAAGCGUUGUUCGGAAUUACUGGGCGUAAGGGGCGCGUAGGCGGCCUUCUAAGUCGAACGUGAAAUCCCCGGGCUCAACCCGGGAACUGCGUCCGAUACUGGAAGGCUUGAAUCCGGGAGAGGGAUGCGGAAUUCCAGGUGUAGCGGUGAAAUGCGUAGAUAUCUGGAGGAACACCGGUGGCGAAGGCGGCAUCCUGGACCGGCAUUGACGCUGAGGAGCGAAAGCCAGGGGAGCAAACGGG